rnacentral:tRNA from 1 species
GUUUGGCUAGCUCAGUCAGUAGGGCAUGAGACUCUUAAUCUCAGGGUUGUGGGUUAGAGCCCCACGUUGGGCG